GGCGUGCCUCGUGGUAGUGUGCCUGCGGCCGCUGCAGGCCCAAGAGCUGCCCGAGGGCAGGGCCUCGUCUUGCCCAUCUAGGCCCUUGAGCUUCGCCCCACCAAGUCCUGAAGCCCGAGGCCUCCUGAGGAAGGGAAUUUCCAGGGCUGUCAGACCCACCUGCGCCCCGCGCGCCUCGAACAAAGGAAAUUCCGGGCUCCCCCAGCGCCCCGGGUUCCCUCUGUUAGAGCGCCGGGCUGUCGCUCCUCUGUCCAGGUGCCCCUUGGAGGCCAGUGGCCUGGCUUGACCCUUGUACUUGAUCCCCUAUCCCCGCCAUCGGGGCCCGGCGCGCAGGCGGCCUCCGGACGCGGUCCAGGAACAGAAACAGCGGCUGGUUUCCCAGGUGCCCGGCGCUGCCCACCUUGGGCACCCUGGACUUUGACCUUGUGCUGCUUGGCGCUCCCGGGGGCGCAGGGGCCCCGGGCUGCCCAUCUUCGCGCCCCCAGCGCGGGCCUCGGCGAGCACAGAAACCAGCGCCAGAGCCCUGGCCGGCUCGGGCCACCAGGCGGGCGCCAGGAACACCUGGCACCGUCCCCUGACCCCGCCCCGAGCCCGGCCGCACCCCGGAACGCUCUCUCGGGCCAGCCCAGCCGAGGCGGUGCAGGCCAUGGCGGCGACGGUGGGCGCCUCGCCGGGACCCCCGCCGGGAGCGCCGGCCCCUCCCGCGCCCGCGCCCGCGGCCGGCCUGGGGCGCUGCCGGGUGGCGCUGCUGCUGGCCGUGGCGCUGGACGUGGCGGGCAUGGCGGCGCUGCUGACCGGCGUCUUCGCGCAGCUGCAGGUGCGCGGCCGCGACUUCGGCGACCUGCUCAUCUACUCGGGCGCGCUGCUCGUCUUCCUGAGCCUGCUCGGCUGGAUCUUCUGGUACACCGGCAACAUCGAGAUCUCGCGCCAGGAGCUCGAGCGCGACUACGGCCUGCGGCCCUCGGCGCUCGCCCGCCUGGCGCGCAAGCUCUCCCGCCGCUGGUCGGCGCCGGCCUCCGCCCCGCGCGCCGCGCCCGGGGCCCUGGGAACGCGCCGGACCGCCCGCGCGCCCCUGCCGCACCCCGCCGGCUCCCGCCGCGUGCGCCUGCAGCUCGCCACACUGGAGGCUGGGCCCGGGGCGGCGGGAGCCGGCCCCGAGUGACCGGAGGUCCUGGCUCCAGAGGCUCCCCUCUGGCCCUGGCGCUGAGAUGAGCUGAGCAGACAGAUGCCUCCACCCUCAGGACCUGGCUGAGAUACGCGGCCGGCUGGACACCCUCACCUGGCUGCCGGGGCCCCCGUGCACCUGUGCCUCCCUGUUCCUCCCCUGGAUAAAGGGCUCUGCCUCGCAGCUCUGCAUGUCUGUCUGGGAGAGGGAUGGGGCUGGGGCGGCAGUGGGGGAAGGUUGCUGGCUUCCUUCCAAGACUACCCACCCCCAGCUGUCCCGCAGGGGACCCAAGGCCACAGGGGACACAGGAGCCCACCUCGUGCCAGCCCCUAAAGACGGGGAGCCCAGACAGCCCGACUCGGCCCUGACCCUGCUCCUCCUGGGAGUCCUUGUGUCAUCUGUGUCCUGAGAGAGGGCGGGCUGGACUUGCCAAGAGAUGGAUGGACUGCAGGAAACACGUAUGGAGGGGGCGCUGGGAGCCUCCAAACCACACUGCACCCUGAGCCCUGGGGACGGAGGGGGCGCGCAGCAUCCUGACCAGUAGCCCAGCAUGGAGAAAACGUCAGCCCAGCCACUAGGCGUUUGGGAGCCCGGGCUGUCCAUUUGACGAGCCCCUGACCUGCAGGAAGGGGUCCACCCUGGUACCCCACAGUGCUCAGUCGUGGACCGGGGACAGCCUGUGGAAACGGUGGCAAAUUCUG